rnacentral:rRNA from 1 species
UACGGAGAGUGCAAGCAUUAAUCGGAAUUAUUGGGCGUAAAGGGCGCGUAGGCGGAAAGAUAAGUCAGAUGUGAAAUACCAAAGCUCAACUUUGGUGCUGCAUUUGAAACUAUCAUUCUAGAGGGUUGACGGAGAAAACGGAAUUCCACGUGUAGCGGUGAAAUGCGUAGAUAUGUGGAAGAACACCAGUGGCGAAAGCGGUUUUCUAGUUAAUACCUGACGCUGAGGCGCGAGAGCAAGGGGAGCAAAC